rnacentral:rRNA from 1 species
UACGAGGGGGCGAGCGUUGUUCGGAAUUAUUGGGCGUAAAGGGUGCGUAGGCGGUUCCGCAAGUCCUGUGUGAAAUCUUCGGGCUCAACUCGAAGUCUGCACGGGAAACUGCGGGGCUUGAGUGUGGGAGAGGUGAGUGGAAUUCCCGGUGUAGCGGUGAAAUGCGUAGAUAAUCGGGAGGAACACCUGUGGCGAAAGCGGCUCACUGGACCAUAACUGACGCUGAUGCACGAAAGCUGGGGGAGCAAACAGG